GCAAAGUUGGAUAAACAUUCGGUCCGAAAACGCAACAAGCUAGCUAGCUAACAUUCGUGAUGUAUUUACUUCUCAGAACAUACAAACUGUAUGACUAAUACUGUAAAUUUAACCAAAUAGUGUGUCUGUUUCUGAACCUAAAGUAAAUACUAGGAGUAUCAUAACCUGACUGAAAAGUAGAGAAGUGGUACUUUAUUUACUGUUGACGGUGUGAGAAGCCAUGUUGAUAUGACGUCACGAGCUGAAUUCAGGGUUGAGAAGACGUUCCUAGAUUCCAAGUUGAGGGUAAUUUUCUUUGGUUUUAUCUGUUCUGUGGUGUGAAAUUCACAAAAACAAACUUUUACUACAAAAUAGCGGAAAACAGGGCGUCUCACACACACGGCGCAUGCGUACUACGGGCUUACAAACGGCGCAUGCGCACUGCACGCUUUAAAAGAAGCCUGCGCCCUCGUGGUUGUCCCAGUCAGAGAGCAGUGCUGCUGAGGCACCACGUGGUUCCUACUGGCUUCACGGAAAGGAGAAUGCAGCCCAAGAGCCCUGCUUCCGGUUCACGUGGUUAUGUAUUCCACUUGGCUGUAGAUAAGACGAGUCCUGUUCACCCCAAUAGGAAAUUAUGUGCUCCACCAAUAGUGGUGAGGUGACUUGGGUGACACUUGUGCAGAUGGGCACUGUAACCCUUUAUUCCAUUACAUGAAAAGGAGCCAUGUCUGAUCGUGGUCUUCGAGAACGUGUGUUGCGAACCUGGGGGGUCCAGCAGAUAUCUGGAUGAACAGUUCCAGGACUGGGGUUUCUUUCAGAGAUAUAAAACUGAUCCUCUGGCCCAUGGAGUGACUUUUUUUUUUUUCCCCCCACCACUUGGCUUUCCAAGGUUGUAAAAGAGAUUAGAAAACCACGGCAUGAGGAAUCUUAAAUGGAUUCCUGUCCCAUGGACCUCUACAAGGGUCAUCAUGGAUUGCUGUGGAAUGCCUCAGGGGUCCAGUAUGUCCCCAAACUAAACUGGAGCCUUCAAGUUGAGAAGCUGACUGCUCAAGUUGUCUUCAGAUUAAUGGGGGAUAUGUUUUGCUGAGUGACAUUUAACUUGAAUAAACAAUUCAAAUAAAAGUACAGCACAGAUUGA